UUUGGCGGGCCCACCGGGGCCACCUGGUCGCCGGGGGACGCACGUCUCCGGGCCCGCGCCCGCCGAAGCGCUCUGUGAACCCUGAUGAAGAUGGGCUGUCUGAGUACUGUGAAAAUUGUCAAAACUUUCAACAAUGGAUCUCUUGGUUCCGGCAUCGAUGAAGAACGCAGCGAAAUGCGAUAAGUAAUGUGAAUUGCAGAAUUCCGUGAAUCAUCGAAUCUUUGAACGCACAUUGCGCCCCCUGGCAUUCCGGGGGGCAUGCCUGUCCGAGCGUCAUUUCUGCCCUCAAGCACGGCUUGUGUGUUGGGUGUGGUCCCCCCGGGGACCUGCCCGAAAGGCAGCGGCGACGUCCGUCUGGUCCUCGAGCGUAUGGGGCUCUGUCACUCGCUCGGGAAGGACCUGCGGGGGUUGGUCACCACCAUGUUUUACCACGGUUGACCUCGGAUCAGGU
rnacentral:rRNA from 1 species